GAUUGCUACUCGUUAGAAACAGACUACAUUUCUGUUUACCAGAACAAAAAUAUUCCACUUCCUCAUCCUACCUUAUAAUCCAACUCUGCAUUGGACAUACAAAUAUGUGAAUUAAAUAUUUAAAAGUUUUAAAGACCGUAUCUUCUACCAUGUUAAGAAAUGAUGAGCCUUUACUGUGAGCUGGAAGGGUUUUAAAAUGUGAUACAUAUACCAAAGGCAACAGAACUAUACAGGAGAAUUAAGAUAUUGGAAAAUGAAGCAACCUUUCCAAAGUCAGCAACAGGUCAGCAGCUGGAUUGGGAGCAACAUCCUCUGGCUUCUGCCUCCUCCAGCAGAACUGUUCUGAACAGGGCAGAGGUGAUGUUGCAGUGCAGACCAGCAGGACGUGAAAAUACACAGAAGGUGCCUGCAGGACAUUGAGCAACAAGAGCAACAGCUGCCAUAGGUGUAAGGGUAAAGAAACACAUUCAAGAGAAGGUUUUUAUUCAGUGACUUAAGGAAGUGUAGCUUUCACUUAGAGCAGGAAGCAAUCAGGUUUCCUGGUUUCUGCCAUUCCGUGGAAGUCCAUGUUUGAAAUUAUGCACCCUUAUCCCACACCGCAGGGAUGAGUGUCCUCAGGAGAGUACCUCCCUUCACCCUGCCCAGAGGCUGGGCUGCAGCAGCCUCGAGUUUUGUGGUAACAACAAGAGGUGUGUUUUUAAUUUGAUGGAUACCUGCCAGAGCAGCAACAUCAAGGCAGCUUGCCCAAAGCAAGAGACAGAAAUCCUUGCCCAAGAAAAAUAAACAAGCCCAACUCAUACAGAUUUAUAUGUUUUGUUCAUGCAGGAUUGAUUGACAACCUUUUUAUUGCUGGAAGGAAUUGCAUGAUUUUACUCUUCAAUUUGUAGUGCCUGGAUGUGAUCUCCCAUUGGUUUUGGGGCUAAUUAAUAAAUUUCAGCUUGUUUGGAGGCUGAACUUGGCACAUCUGCUGUAAUGUUGAUGGUAUUGUGCCGGAUGAAACAACAUAGUUAUUGACUUCAUACGUAUUGACAAAAACCAUAAUGCUGCCAGCAUUAUUCUCACAGGCUGUCACAAGUUCAGUCCCUUUGAAAAAGCUGAUUUGAAGUGGUGGGAAUAAAACAUUUUCUUCAAC